CUUCUCUGUGAAAAAAGCAGAUGAUAACGGAUGCAGAGCUAGCUUGUGAUCACGCUCAUUACUAUCUUGUUAUCAAAGCAAGAACCAGAUGGUAUGACCUAGUAAGGGUAAGAAGAAUGUUUUCUUUAAAUAAAUAAGCAGCACUAAUAGAUUUCAGUACAUCAUGCAAUGUUGAUCUUCAGAUUCUAUAAAUAUUCAAAGAGACCCAUGCAAAAAAGCUCAUUAAUGAUAAAAAGUUACUCUGUAAUUAAGAAAGAAAUCCACUGUCUAAAUAAUAUGCAAUUUUUGCAACAUUCAUUACAUUUUAGAUGCUAUUAUGGUUAUCUCUAAAACUUUCUUCACAUUCUACUCUUGUUUAUUUUAUUCAAUGUGUCUGUUGUAAGAGGAGUAAUGGGCUACACCUGAGGCCUGACCACUAAGGCUGUACACAAACACAGCUUUCUGCUCUGCUGGCACUCAGUGCUUCCCAUCACAAAGAGCCAUUGAGGGUAAUGCUUACACCAUGCAAAAAGACUGUCUUAAAUCUAUCCUAUAAAAAUAUUCCCAUCUUCUUAAACUUCUUGAAAUAUUUGGUCAACGAAUAAUCAGCAGAAGAAAAAAAAUGAAUAUGAUUUUUUAACUAACUGUGUGCAUUCAACAGUAGUACUGGUAAUCUCAGUUUACAAAUUGACUGGUAAAACCACCAACAAACCCAAGCAAUCAACCUAAACCUGGACCAAAAUCUAAUUAGUAUUAGAUAUAGAAUGAAUUGGAGAGAAAAUCUACAGGUCUGUAAUUUUCCAGUCCAUUACCUGAUGUACUUGAAGAUGUCCCUGUUCAUUGCAGGGAUUGAACUUGAUAGCUUUUGAAAGUGCCUUCUGACCUAAAGUAUUCUAUUAUUCUAUUAUUCUGUUAUUUUCUGCUUCUUUCUCAAUUUCCAUUAUUUAUUCAGCUUGUAGAUAGAUCAGACAUUUUGUCAAACUUGUUGGUUCUUGUUAGUGAUGAUUUCUUUUGCAUUCCAGAAUUUUCAAGGGUUUGGCAGUGAAGGAAAUGGCAUUAUACAGCCAAGGGACGUGAGGAAGUUCUUGUUCCCAUUUGGCAUUCCAAUCGCCCUGGAAGGAUUGAAGCAGCUUUGGGCAAGCUUAGGAAUCAGCAUUCAUGACAGCAAGCUCUCUUAUUUUGAUUUCCUGAGAGCAAUUGAGGAUGGCAGAGCAUCUGAAUACCAGCAGAAACAAAAGCAGGCUGCACCACCUGCAAGCUUUGCAGAGCUCAGCUUAGAACAAACCCUAAUAAAGAUAAAGGAAACAGUUACGUCAUCUUAGGAUUUGUUGUAUAAGGUAAGUUUCAUCUUAUUUAAUGUCUAUUUUUUUUCUGCCUGGCUGGGUACUAUGCCAAAGGCUUCAAAACUUUACUGCUAUUGGGUGCUACCAGCAACCUUGGCCUGUGUAGAAAUACCAUCUUCUGGCAACUGUAGGCUUCUUAAUUGAUUGUAUUCUGGAAAUUCCA
rnacentral:lncRNA from 1 species